rnacentral:rRNA from 1 species
CGGUAAUUCCAGCUCCAAUAGCGUAUACUAAAGUUGUUGCAGUUAAAAAGCUCGUAGUUGGAUUUCUGCGGGGACGGAGCGGCCGGUCGCAAUUUGCGACUCGAGCUAGCGCUUUCCCCGCAUCCUGCCGCGAACCGUGCUACCAUUAGUUUGGUGGCGCUGGGGAUCGGCUCGAUUACUUUGAGAAAAAUAGAGUGUUCAAAGCAGGCCACACGCCUUGAAUAAGUUAGCAUGGAAUAAUGACUAAGGACUUUGGUUCUUUUCGUUGGUGUUCGGGACUGAAGUAAUGAUUGAUAGGGACAGUUGGGGCGGUCCGUAUUCCAAAGCGAGAGGUGAAAUUCUUAGACCUUCGGAAGACGAACAGCUGCGAAAGCGUUCCGCAAGGAUGUUCCCUUUGAUCAAGAACGAAAGUUGGGAGAUCGAAGACGAUCAGAUACCGUCGUAGUCUCAACUAUAAACUAUACCAGCUAGGGAUCGGCCAACGUUUAAUUUAUCGACUUGGUCGGCACCUUAUGAGAAAUCAAAGCAUCUGGGUUCCGGGGGGAGUAUGGUCGCAAGGCUGAAACUUAAAGGAGUUGACGGAAGGGCACCACCAGCCGUGGAGCCUGUGGCUUAAUUUGACUCAACACGGGAAAACUUACCAGGUCCAGACAUAGGAAGGAUUGACAGAUUGAUAGCUCUUUCUUGAUUCUGUGGGUGGUGGUGCAUGGCCGUUUUUAGUCGGUGGAUGUGAUCUGUCUGCUUAAUUGCGUUAACGGACGAGACCCCAGCCUGCUAAAUAGCGCGGCCGAGCUUUGCUCGGUGCGAGCUUCUUAGAGGGACCAUGAUGCGCGAUAGCACAAGGAAGUUUGGGGCAACAACAGGUCUGUGAUGCCCUUAGAUGUUCUGGGCCGCACACGGGCUACACUGGCGCCUGCAACGAGCAUAUCAGCUGGCCCGAGAGGGUCUUGGCUAAUCUUUGGAACCGGCGCCGUGCUUGGGAUUGACCAUUGCAAUUGUUGGUCAUGCAACGAGGAAUGCCUUGUAAACGCGAGUCAUCAGCUCGCAUUGAAUACGUCCCUGCUCUUUGUACACACCGCCC